rnacentral:rRNA from 1 species
CACGUAGGGUGCGAGCGUUGUCCGGAAUUAUUGGGCGUAAAGAGCUCGUAGGCGGUGUGUCGCGUCGGCCGUGAAAACCUGCAGCUUAACUGUGGGCUUGCGGUCGAUACGGGCAUCACUGGAGUUCGGCAGGGGAGACUGGAAUUCCUGGUGUAGCGGUGAAAUGCGCAGAUAUCAGGAGGAAUACCGGUGGUGCAGACGGCUCUCUGGACCGCAACUGACGCUGAGACACGAAAGCGUGGGUAGCAAACAGG